rnacentral:lncRNA from 1 species
GAGAGGAGAGACAAAAUAAUGGUCAUGUGCGGUGACUACUUGGAAUUAAGCAUAGCCCAGAUGAAAUAAGGCAAAUUAUAUGACAAAAUUCCUGGCUGGUAAAUAGACGUGGUAGCAUAGAGGAUAGAUAUCAGCCAAUAUUUGGUGCUGAUUAAGGUUUAUCACAAAUAGAAAAGUUGGGUGUGUUUUACCUAGAAAAGAAAUGGCCAAAGUUGGGGUGGAAACCCUGGUUUGGGAUUGCAUUUUUCUAUAAUACAUUAGACAUUUUAUCACAACAACAGAAAAGGCACUAAUACUCACCAACAGUGUUUCACACCUGAAUGAGUUAUUUCAUGGACUUAAAGUAAACUGUGAAUUCUAAACCAGUUACCUCAUCAAUGAACCUCAUAAGGCUUUUGUCCCUAUGAGUUUCCAGGUAGGAACAAAACAGAGACAUCAUCAUACUUGAGCAGAUAGUUGACAGCUGCUAGAAUUUUUCUCAAGCAUGAAUAAUGUUCCCAAAAGUCCCCUAUACUUUUGGAAUAGAAUUUGAAAUGUAAAUGAAGAAAAUACACAAGAAAAAAAAAAGAAAAAAAAAAAGAAUGAAUAAUGUUGCUGGCCGGUGUUGGCACACACCUUUAAUCCCAGCACUUGGGAGGCAGAGGCAGGCAGAUUUCUGAGUUCAAGGCCAGCCUGGUCUACAAAGUGAGUUCCAGGACAUCCAGGGCUACACAGAGAAACCCUGUCUUGAAAAAAAAAUAAUAAUAAUGAAUAAUGUUGUGUAAGUUAAUAUAACUGUGUUGGCCAAAGUUUGGACCAUGUCAAUAGAUUCCCUUACUUUUGAGUUCUUUAAAGUCCUAAAAAAUUAUUGUGACAUGCAAACUUUAAACAAUCUAGUACAUGCUAAAGGUAUUACUCUCACAUACAGAUACUGUGACGUGCAAAAUGUUUCCACGAUGGCUCCAUUUACAGGGUUACCCUACAGCAUGGACUUUUCUCAAGAAAAAACAAGUGGUCCACACAAGCUUUACCACAUUCCUUAUUUUUACGAGGUUUCUUACAAGUCUGUGGUUUUUUUUUUUUUUGUUUUUUGUUUUGUUUGUUUGUUUGUUUGUUUUUUUUUUUUUGUGGUUUUUCAAGACAGGGUUUCUGUAUAGCCCUGGCUGUCCUGAAACUCACUUUGUAGACCAGGCUGGCCUCGAACUUAGAAAUCCGCCUGCCUCUGCCUCCCGAGUGCUGGGAUUAAAGGUGUGCACCACCACGCCCGGCUGCUAGACUGUGAGUCUUUUGCCUGUAUGAAUGAAUAUAAACUUCAUGUGUGCCCAGUCCUCACAGUAGUCAGAGAUGGCCUGAGACCUCCUGUAAGAGGAAAAAUGAUAGCUGUGGGUCUCUGAAAAUACAGGUAGGCACUUGAGCUCACUUAUUUGUUGGGCCAGCAAGAGCUUUUCAUGAUGUAGUGUGUAGCCUUUUAACAACCUCUUUUUUUUUUUUUAACUUACUUUGUAGACCAGGCUGGCUAGGAACUCAGAAAUCCACCUGCCUCUGCCUCCCAAGUGCUGGGAUUAAAGGAGUGCACCACCACGCCCUGCUAUGUCUGUGUUAAUUUAUACAUUAUAAGGUAAAUGUCAACUGCAAAGGCCUUACCACAUUACUCACACAGUUUUUCUCUCCAGUGUCUUCUAUGUAUUCUGAGAUAUAUUAUGUGCUCUUUUAUAUAUGCAAAGAAAACUGUGAUAUGCAAAGGUUUACCACAUUGUGUAUAUUCAUUCUCAUUCUCUCUCUCUCUCUCUCUCUCUCUCUCUCUCUCUCUCUCUCUCUCUCUCUCUCUCUCUCUCUCCUGUAUGAUGUGCUCCUUCCUGCAUUAGGAGAUAACUUUGCACAGCAUAGGUUUUACCACAUUGCUUAUACUCAGAAGGAUUCUGGCCCCUACAAAUAUGUUCAUGAUGAUUAAGAGUAUGAUCACAUUCACAGUCUUUCUCUUCAGUACGUUCACUUAUACAUUCAGAAAUGAUGGUGUUGUAAAAAGGUUGCUCACAUCCAUUUCCAUUUUGUAGCUUUUCCCUCCAGUAUGUAUUCUUUUAUUCUUUUGAAGAUGACCAUGAUUUGAAAAGACUUUCACACACUAAUUAAACUUGUAACGUUUCUCUCUAGUAUGUCCUUUAUGAAUUUGUAGAUUAUAAUGAUGGGAAAAGGCUUUUUGUUACAUUCAUUACAUUCAUAAGAUUUCACUCCAGUAUAAAUUAUUCUACGGAUUGGAGGUUACAAGGUUGGGAAAAGGCUUUGUCACACUGAUUCCAUUUGUAGGAUUUAUCUCCUGUAUAUCUUCUUCUAUGAAUUUUAAGAUAACUGUGUUGUGAAAGGCUUUGUCACUUUGAUUACAUUUGUAAGGCUUCUCUCCAGUAUGUGUUCUUUUAUGAUUUUGGAGGUAAGUGUUUUGAAAAGGUUUUAUCACAUUCAUUACAUUUGAAGGGUUUCUCUCUUAUAUGUGUACUUCUAUGAAUUUGGAGAUGAAUAAAUUGGGAAAAGGCUUUAUCACAUUCAUUACAUUUGUAGGGUUUCUCUACAGUAUGUGUUCUUCUAUGAAUGUGCAGAUUACUGUAUUGGGAAAAGGCUUUAUCACAUUGAUUACAUUAGUAGGGUUUUUCUCCAGGAUGUAUCCUUGUAUGUGUUUGGAGAUGACGAUUCUCAGAAAAGGCUUUAUCACAUUGAUUACAUUUGAACGGUUUCUCUCCUGUAUGUCUUCUUCUAUGAAUUUGAAGAUAACUGUGUUGUGAAAAGGCUGUCACAUUGAUUACAUUUGUACGGCUUCUCUCCAGUAUGUGUUCUUUUAUGAUUUUGGAAGCAAAAUUGUGUUGAAAACGGUUUAUCACAUUCAAUACAUUUGAAGGUUUUCUAUCCAGUAUGUAUUCUUCUAUGAAAAUAGAGAUGACCGUAUUGGGAAAAGGCUUUAUCACAUUGAUUACAUUUGUAGGGUUUUUCUCCAGUAUGUAUUCUUAUAUGUGUUUGGAGACUACGUUUCUGGGAGAAGGCUUUAUCACAUUGAUUACAUUUGUAGGGUUUAUCUCCAGUAUGUGUUUUUAUAUGAAUUUGGAGAUUACCAAAUUGGGAAAAGGCUUUAUCACAUUCAUUACAUUUGAAGGGUUUCUCUCCGGUAUGUGUUCUUCUAUGAAUGUGAAGAUUAGUGUGUUGUGAAAAGGCUUUAUCACAUUGAUUACAUUUGUAAGGCUUCUCUCCAGUAUGUGUUCUUUUAUGAUUUUGGAGGUGAAAGUGUUUUGAAAAGGCUUUAUCACAUUCAUCACAUUUGAAGGGUUUCUCUCCAGUAUGUGUGCUUCUAUGAAUUUGGAGAUGACCGUAUUGGGAAAAGGCUUUAUCACAUUGAUUACAUUUGUAGGGUUUUUCUCCAGUAUGCAUUCUUAUAUGUGUUUGGAGACUACGUUUCUGUGAAAAGGCUUUAUCACAUUCAUUACAUAUGAAGGGUUUCUCUCCAGUAUGAAUUCUUUCAUGCCUUUUAAGAUGACUGGGCGUUGCAAAUCCUUUACCACAUUGAUUACAUUCAUAGGGUUUCUGUCCAGUUUGUGUUCUUUUAUGUACUCGGAGACUUGUGUAAGGUAAAAAAUCUUUGACACAGUGAAUAACUACAGAGGGGAUCUUUUCUGUAUGAAUCCUUUCAUGCCUUUGGGCAUGACUGUGAUCAUGUAAAGCAAAGGCUUUACCACAUUGAGUAUAUUCAGAGGGUUUCUCUGCACUCUGACUCCUUUCACA